UACGGGGGGGGCAAGCGUUGUUCGGAAUUACUGGGCGUAAAGGGCGCGUAGGCGGUCGAUCAAGUCAGAUGUGAAAGUCCUGGGCUUAACCGGGGAACUGCGUCUGAUACUGGAUGGCUUGAGUUCGGGAGAGGGAUGCGGAAUUCCAGGUGUAGCGGUGAAAUGCGUAGAUAUCUGGAGGAACACCGGUGGCGAAGGCGGCAUCCUGGACCGACACUGACGCUGAGGAGCGAAAGCCAGGGGAGCAAACGGG
rnacentral:rRNA from 1 species